rnacentral:lncRNA from 1 species
AUCCAAGCACAAAAAUCAAUGUUCUUCUUUGAUUUAUGAAUUCUUUAACAAAAUAUUCCACUCGAUAUCAUUUGCAGACAAUCAUCUCUUCAUAACCCUGAUCAAAUAUAAAGAUCAUAUAUGGAGAAAAUUACUGAUAAUCGAUCCUAGUAACACAGAUCAAGGACCUCUCUUAGGAUUAAUCAAAAUUAGGAUUUAUCUAAGUAUCUAGAUCCUCCACUGAUCCAUAAGACUUCUAGAGAGAGAAAAUCCAUGAAGAGAGAGAAAAUUCUAGAGAGAGAAAGUGGAGAGAGAAAGUGGAGAGAGAAACUUUCGUAUCCUUCCGAUGAGGCAGUCAUGAUCAAGAUCAUCAGAGGUCCUAUCAGGGUGACUUAACAUAAAUCAAGUGUUACAAAUUUCAAAUAGAAUCAAAUUGGGAUCAGAUCUACCGCACGAAUUUUGGAGCAAUCUCGGAUCAUCUUAUUUUCAUCUCAAUUUUAUCCUAGGGUCCGUGAUGAAAUCAUAGAGAGA